CACCCCUAACGCUACGGCUGCCGCCCUCUCCGCUGUCUGCCCUCUCCUGCUCCAGCUCCGGAACUCCCCUCGGCUCUACCUUCCCCCGGGCGCUUCCCUCCGCCCCCUCCCCGCAGCCCGCCGCUCGGACCGCGCUCGCCGCCACCUCCCCCUCCCCGCAGGCGGCCUCCGCAGAGCUCCGACCGGCCGGUGUGCCUCGCUCUCUUCGUUUCCUUUUUCUCUACCUGCCCCCUUCCAGAUCCGCAGUCCCCUUCUCUCCACCACCGAGCACACGAGCCCCCUUCCCAGUCCCUCCUUAUUUUGUAACUAACUUAACACUUUCCCCAGGUCUGGUCCUUAGCCUUUGCCCUACAGCUCAGCUCCUUAAAGCUUCCAGAUUGCCAAACUUUUAUGGUAAUUAUGGACCGUAACUCUGCCCUUAACACCCAUGCCCUCCAGGAUGCCGCGGACCUGCCCGAGCCCCCCCUGAUUGCAGGAAGCAAACCAGGAAGUCGGAGCUACAGCUGCCGCAGCAGCAGCUCCACGUGGCUGAUUUAUAGCUGGGAGGAUUUUUUUUUCCAUAUAUAUAUUGAUCUUGCUUUUUCACACGGCUUCUAGAGGAGGUGGAUUUGUAACCGAAAGGCUCAGGUGAGAUGUGCAAAUAUCACUGAACUAGAGGAGCUCACUUGGAAAGCCAGUAUUACUCUUGCCCUUGAGCUAAUUAGAAGAAAGCCAAUUGUCUUCUGCUAAUAAGCAGUGAAUCCUUGAUCUUAGAUUUCUACCCAGAGAAAACAGUUUCAGUUUUUAAGACAAUACUUACCCCUUAUUGUUUCCCUCACACCUGAUUUUUGCCUCUUGAUGGACUUUCCUUUUCUGUCCAUGAGACCUGACGCCCUUGAAAGGAUGUUGGUAAUUACCAAGCCCCUUCUCAAGGAAAUAUUGUGCCCAUAUCUUCCAACAAAGAUGUCCAUCACUAUAUAUCAUGGAGUGUAUGUUAUUGCAUUAUUAGUGUGCCAUACGCUGAAAUGCCUAAUUAAACAGAAUGUUUAAAAUUUUGUCCUUUGUUUUAGUAUGGUCAAAGUAUACUUUUUCAUAAUAUUACUUCAAAUCUGCAAGGGUUUUUUUGUUGUUUUGCUUUUGGGGUUUAAAACAAGUAAAACCUGGUUAUUUAGUCUGCCUCAGUGAUUAAACCUUGCAUUUGUGCUCUCAUUUUCACAGUCAGAAAGACAAUCUUUUGUUAUGAAUAAAAUCAGAAGCUUGAUUUUUGCUGUUAUAAACAUAGCUGCUCAGUAUACAAAUGGAAAGUGGUACUUAUGGCUAAAGCCGUUUGAAUGGUUCUUUUAGAGUAUUCUAGGGAGAUCCUGCCAUCACCACUUGCACACAGAACUGGAAAUACAAAUGAAAAGGCCACAAAGUUAGAAAUUAAUCAAUGUGUAUACAGUAGUAAAAGACCAUAUUUCUCUGAAUUCUAACAAUGUUUAAAAGAAACCUAACAUACACCUUAAAAUAAAUGGCUUUUACCACAUUUGCUGGGAUGCAGCUUUCGAAGAGUUGACAAGUCUGUUGAGAAAGAAGAUGAGAAGCUACAUUCAAAGCUUAGGUCAGGAUUUCACUGAAGAAAGACUCAGGUUCUCAGCAGAAUGGUUAAAUGACCAGAAAGUCUUCAGAACUGAAAUUUGUCAAGGUAUUACUGUAAAUCCUAUUACAGUUUGUGCAUAUGAACUUCUGCAUCAGUGAACAGACGGUUAGUUUCAAACAGCUGUCAGUUUAUUAUCACAUCCCUCCAGAGAUCUUGCUUAUCCAGUUAAGCCCAGAACCUCACAGUGUUUAAUGUGAGAAUCUGAUUCCUACAAGGCAAAUUGGACUCUGUUUUGUUAAUAUUGAUAAUCUCUCAGCAUAAUUUAUGCAGUGGAUGGAAUGGAGAGAAAUGAUGUCAGUAAAAGUGCCAGAGAACCCAUGCUGCCAUAUGUAAAAUGAAAGAUUUGUCUGGACCACAGUGGGUGUAGCUGGAUAAGCAAAAUCUCUGUAGGGAUAUGCAGGUGUUUAGACCUAGAGAGCCGGACCAAGGAGGAAGCAAUUCUCCUGUGCUUAUCCAAGAUGAGAUGUAGAGCCUACAGAACAACCUGAUAGGAACAGCAUAGAAGUAGUUUAUAUCAUCUUCAUUUUCUAAUUGGUUUUUGAUUAGUUUAAAUAAGAUUUGGAUUAUUUUUAAUAAUGAACUCUAUUCCUACAUACCUUUUUAGAUACUUCAGAGGAGAUAAACAGAAUUGAAUAUAAAUAAAGAGAUCUUGAGACAGACAGUCAAGAGAUUGUAUAGGAAGGUUAUCUAGGAAUUAGAGGCUCUAUAGGAACUAGUUACCUGUCAAUUGCAAACUUUUAUUUUCCAUCUAUGCCAUGCUGCUUCUCAGUGAUGCCUGGAAAUUUUUUUUUCUCUUUUUUUUUUUAAAGUUAUUUCCCAAUAACUGAACAGUGAACAAGUCCCUUUUUCUCUUUUAUUUGAACACAUGACUCUAUAUUAAAUGAGAUUAGAGAGCCACACCAGGGAAUUGUGGGCCAAGAGUGCAGAUCUUCAGGGGAGUUCAAAAUACUGUCAUUUAGAUAAAUGUACCUUUUGGCAUAUUGCAAAGAGUUUUGAAAUUUGAAUUUUAAUUACAUUUCUUUUUGGAGAGUGGUCUUUGAGGACUCAGUCUUUUGGGAUGGCUUCUAUUUCUCAAACCUUAUAACAUCAUUUUUAAUGAAGUGAAUCCUUUCCUGUGAUCUUUUAUUAUAUAUUUAUAGAUUUUCUAGUCAACCUGUUAUUUGAGCACAUUUGAUGUGCUAGCCAUUGUUCUUAGAUGCUGGGAAUAUAGUAAUAAAAGCAAAAAUUCUUGUCCUCUUGGCAUUAGCCAAUAAACCAAUAUGUAAAUUAAUUAUUAUAUAUUGUCAUGAAACAAAAAGUCAGUUGUGUCAAACAUUUGUUCUAAAAAGUUUACAAAGAAUAACUUUUAUUUUAGAUGGUAUAUUAGAAGAUAAGUGUUAUAGAGAGAAAUAAAGCAGAAAAAUGGAAUAUGAAAUGCUGGAUGAGGAUGAGGGGAGGUUUCCACUUUAAGUAGCCUGAGAUGUCACAGAGAAGAUAACAUUGAACAAAACCUGAAAGUGGUGGGAAAACAAGCCAAGUGAAUAUCUCAAGAGAGAUGGCUCCUAUCUGGCAUGAAGAGCAAUAGAUACAAAGGUCCUAAGGCAAGAAUGUCUGAGGAGAAGCAAGGACAGGGGAGCUAAGGCUGAGAAAGCGAAGGAAGAAAAUUGAAUCCUAGUACUCACUGUGGCUUUUAUUUAGAGGUGGGAAGACACUGGACCAUUUAGUGCAGAGUGGUGGCAUGAUCUAACAUAUCUGAAUAGAAUCACCAUGGAGCAAGAAGGUGGGAAAGGAAAGGAUUAAAUAAAUAAAAAAGACACACCUUCUGGGUUUGGUUUGGAAAGAAACAAAGAAAUUUUAAUAAUCCAGGUGAAAGAUUAUGGCAGCAUAGACUAAGGAUUAUAACAGUAGCAGUCCUUAGAAUAGGCCAGAAUAUGGAUAUAUUUGAUUCUUUUUCAACCAUUAUGGUUCCAAAUAAUUAAGUUUAUUGUUUUGCUUUUGUGCUAUCUGUAAGUAGUUAAAUUAAUAACCUGUAAAGCAAUUCUAAAUGCUUUAACAACACACAGAAACUAUAAACAAUUACUCAAUCAUUUGUUUAACGUCUUUUGUUAAGAUUUUCAUGUAUUACAAUAUAUUUUCAAAUGGAACAUCCUGUAUUUACAAAUUAUAUGUCCCAUGCAACAAUAGUAGCACUUGAGGUGCCAGGAUCAACCGCUCUGUUGAAAACAACUGAAAAUACCAGGGAGGUGAGAUCUACUUGGAAGAAGAAGGUCACUGGGAUGUGCCAUGGAAGAGUUUAUCUUCUCCCUGGUCCCUUGCCCUCCCACCCUCUGCUCCCCAGAUGCCAUGAGAUAAGCAGCUUUUCUCUUUCGUGUCAUCUGCCAUGAUAUUUUUGCUCAGAACCAGCCAACCAUGGACUGAAGUCUCUGAAACUAUGAUCCAA